GUAAACGAUGAGAACUAAGUGUUGGGGUUACUCAGUGCUGAAGUUAACGCAUUAAGUUCUCCGCCUGGGGAUUACGACCGCAAGGUUGAAACUCAAAGGAAUUGACGGGUCUCCGCACAAGCGGUGGAGCAUGUUCUUUAAUUCGACGGUACGCGAAGAACCUUACCAGGUCUUGACAUCUCUUGACCGCCCUAGAGAUAGGGUUUCCCUUCGGGGCAAGAUGACAGGUGGUGCAUGGUUGUCGUCAGCUCGUGUCGUGAGAUGUUGGGUUAAGUCCCGCAACGAGCGCAACCCCUAUUGAUAGUUGCUAACAUUAAGUUGAGGACUCUAUCGAGACUGCCAGUGACAAACUGGAGGAAGGUGGGGAUGACGUCAAAUCAUCAUGCCCCUUAUGACCUGGGCUAGAAACGUGCUACAAUGGCCAGUACAAAGAGUUGCCAAAUCGCGAGAUGGAGCUAACCUUUUAAAGCUGGUCUCAGUUCGGAUUGAAGUCUGCAACUCGACUUCAUGAAGUUGGAAUCGCUAGUAAUCGUGGGUCAGAUACCACGGUGAAUACGUUCUCGGAGAUUGUACACACCGCCCGUCAUACCACGAGAGUCUGUAACACCCGAAGUAGGUGGCCUAACUGCUAGAGGGAGCCUCCUAAGGUGGGAUGGAUGAUUGGGGUA
rnacentral:rRNA from 1 species